GCAGUAGUGGCUCAGUGGUAGAAUUCUCACCUUCCAUGUGGGAGACCUGGGUUCGAUUCCUAUCUGAUGUA
rnacentral:tRNA from 1 species